UUUGGCGGAGCCAUCCUUGGGAUACCACCCUUGUAGUACUGGGACUCUAACCAUAGGCCAUGAAUCUGGUCUUGGGACACUGUCAGGUGGGCAGUUUGACUGGGGCGGUCGCCUCCCAAAAGGUAACGGAGGCGCUCAAAGGUUCUCUCAGUACGGUCGGAAAUCGUACGUAGAGUGUAAAGGCAAAAGAGAGCUUGAUUGCAAGACAUACAGGUCGAGCAAGGAUGAAAAUCGGACGUAGUGAUCCGGUGGUUCUGCGUGGA
rnacentral:rRNA from 1 species